UCAAAGGCUCUUCAAAUCCCGGGAAUGCAGAGCCACCAUUACUUCAAAGAAGAUGCAG
rfam:Canis lupus familiaris chromosome 3, whole genome shotgun sequence.